AGAGUCGGGUUAUGUCGAACGCGGGGUAAUUCCGAACAAGGUCGUUACGGCAUGUUAGAAAAGGGUAGUUGACAAUCUUUUUUUUUCUCACAAGAGUUGGUUCCAUGCUCAGUUCCAGACGUGCAAUAGUGUAUUAUAUAUGCGCAGGUUCUUCAAGGGUAUGAUAAUACUAUCUCAAUAUAUUCGUUUAAAUUCAUUUGGUUGGAUCGCGGGGAAAUAACGAACGAUCUUAGUGGGGUAAUCGCGAACGCUUAUUGUCUUCAAAUAAUUCUAGCGUAUAUGAUAACACACGGAAGAUUCUUAAAUAAAGUUAUUCUACAUUA